rnacentral:rRNA from 1 species
GAUGAACGCUAGCGGCAGGCUUAACACAUGCAAGUCGAGGGGUAUAGUUCUUCGGAAUUAGAGACCGGCGCACGGGUGCGUAACGCGUAUGCAAUCUACCUUUCACAGAGGGAUAGCCCCAGAGAAAUUUGGAUUAAUACCUCAUAGUAUAGCAGUUUCGCAUGAAACCACUAUUAAAGUCACAACGGUGAAAGAUGAGCAUGCGUCCCAUUAGCUAGUUGGUAAGGUAACGGCUUACCAAGGCUACGAUGGGUAGGGGUCCUGAGAGGGAGAUCCCCCACACUGGUACUGAGACACGGACCAGACUCCUACGGGAGGCAGCAGUGAGGAAUAUUGGACAAUGGGCGCAAGCCUGAUCCAGCCAUGCCGCGUGCAGGAUGACGGUCCUAUGGAUUGUAAACUGCUUUAUACAGGAAGAAACACUACUUCGUGAAGUAGCUUGACGGUACUGUAAGAAUAAGGAUCGGCUAACUCCGUGCCAGCAGCCG